rnacentral:lncRNA from 1 species
GCUUCUUCUCCACAUCGUCCACAGGACAGCUGGCUGCUGCCUGAUGAUUCACUAGGAGGCCUGGCCCCUUGACAGAGCAAAUUCCAGUGAGGACUGCAAAUGGCUUCCAGUGUCUGUUUGCCCAAGGCCUCCUGGGAACUGAGGGCCUGGCAUGAGCACAGCGGGGAACUGCAAACCAGGCCUCAGCUCGAACACGACUCCACCUUGCACCAUCCUUCCGGGAGCGGAAGGGACCUUUGGGGACCCUCGGAGAGUUCGCUGCUGCGCUGUAGCCCAGACUGACUGAGCCCAGAUCAUCUUAGAAUAUCAGAUGAGUGGGAGAGAAGGACAUCGAGGUGGUGAUGGGAGGUAGGGACGGGAAUCGGGAUGUCAGGGACAGAAGCCCUGCAGAAGGACGGCAAGAGAAGAGCUGGGAAGAGGGAGGAGACUUCAAGAGCUGUUUAAAAGGAAAACCAGGCUUGGCAACAGCUUGCAUUUUAUCCUGUCUGCUGUCUCUCACUCAUCACUUCCCUGAGGAAAGUUCAAAUUCAAAACAAAACAGCCGUUUUUGCAAAGCCAGCCGUUUUGCUCCACGGACCUGGGAAAGAUUUGAUGUAAAACCAGUUCUCAGGAAGCUGCACAUGAUUCACAGAUCUUAAUGCUGCCGGAGGCACAGAGUGCAAAGGAGAGAGCGGGGAAGAGAGGAAUGUAGCUGUCUCACCUUGGAAAGGGGGUAAACUGAGGCAAGGCUCAGCCGGAAAGUGAGUGAUAGGAAUCAACAGGAGGCACCACCGCUGCCAUUUCAUCUGGUUCAGUGUUCAUCCAGUGACUCUCCUCUCCGAGCCUUCUGCAGACACAGACAGGCAUUCAGAAACCAGCCUGCUGGAGACAUUACAGACUCGGGCAGCAGAGUGGGGUGAUGGGACACAGGAAGGUCGACAUUCAGAGAUGGGGAAGGGGACCUGAUGAAGGAGGGAGAGGGAGGAGGGAGGGGGGAACAGGAACUAAAAAAGAUCAAGGUAUGAGAUACAUAUGUACUGAUGCCCUAAAAAGAACGCAAUUAUUACAUAUCACAAACAUAUUCUAAUAAAAGAAAAGAACCGGGACACCCAGCCUUGUCCCUUGAUUUUUUAUUUUGCUUUUGGAAAUAGAAGACAUGGAAUGAGUUGUUUUGAAAUGACUCUUACUUUCUUGAUUAGAUUAUAAACUCCUUAAGGAGAGAG